rnacentral:rRNA from 1 species
AGUGAACGCUGGUGGUAGGCCUAACACAUGCAAGUCGAACGGCAGCACAGUAAGAGCUUGCUCUUACGGGUGGCGAGUGGCGGACGGGUGAGGAAUACAUCGGAAUCUACUUUUUCGUGGGGGAUAACGUAGGGAAACUUACGCUAAUACCGCAUACGACCUACGGGUGAAAGCAGGGGAUCUUCGGACCUUGCGCGAUUGAAUGAGCCGAUGUCGGAUUAGCUAGUUGGCGGGGUAAAGGCCCACCAAGGCGACGAUCCGUAGCUGGUCUGAGAGGAUGAUCAGCCACACUGGAACUGAGACACGGUCCAGACUCCUACGGGAGGCAGCAGUGGGGAAUAUUGGACAAUGGGCGCAAGCCUGAUCCAGCCAUACCGCGUGGGUGAAGAAGGCCUUCGGGUUGUAAAGCCCUUUUGUUGGGAAAGAAAAGCAGCAGGUUAAUACCCCGCUGCUCUGACGGUACCCAAAGAAUAAGCACCGGCUAACUUCGUG